GGGAAAGAUUGCAGAAAGGCUUCAUAGAGGAGAUGGCGUGUGACUGUGGUCCUUUAAACAUGGGUAGGACUGAAUUUGUAUGACUGGGUGGUGAAGUGUACUCCAGAUGGAUACCAUACUCCAGCAUGGCCAAAGGCCCAGAGCCCCUGCACAGACAGUCUGGUGUCAGGAAUCCUUGGCAUUAGGAACAGUGUGCCAGUCCUCUGUUAGCCCCACAUCCCCGACUACUGGCCUUGCUUCCAACCUGACCCCCAAUGCCACCCUGAGGAGGACUGCCCUGCUGACAAGUCCACUGGAGGCUACUGCAGGCCCAAGCUGUCCAGCAGACAUCGAAAAGCCAGCCAAGAAAGAUUUCAACAUGCGCGCGCCUGGUUCAAACUCAAGUAUGAAGACAUCAGAAAGAGGUUGGACACUUCUGAUCUGCCUUUCUUGGAUCACAGAUUUUGAGUAG
ensembl:lncRNA